CCUACGGGUGGCAGCAGUGGGGAAUAUUGGGCAAUGGGCGCAAGCCUGACCCAGCAACGCCGCGUGAAGGAAGAAGGCUUUCGGGUUGUAAACUUCUUUUAAGGGGGAAGAGCAGAAGACGGUACCCCUUGAAUAAGCCACGGCUAACUACGUGCCAGCAGCCGCGGUAAUACGUAGGUGGCAAGCGUUGUCCGGAUUUACUGGGUGUAAAGGGUGCGCAGGCGGAUUUUUAAGUCAGCGGUCAAAUCGUGGGGCUCAACCCCAUCCAGCCGUUGAAACUGGGGAUCUAGAGUGUGCGAGAGGUAUGCGGAAUGCGUGGUGUAGCGGUGAAAUGCAUAGAUAUCACGCAGAACCCCGAUUGCGAAGGCAGCAUACCGGUGCACAACUGACGCUCAGGCACGAAAGCGUGGGUAUCGAACAGGAUUAGAUACCCGGGUAGUC
rnacentral:rRNA from 1 species